rfam:Ignavibacteria bacterium CG1_02_37_35 cg1_0.2_scaffold_6037_c, whole genome shotgun sequence.
GCGGGAAUAGCUCAGUUGGUAGAGCGCAACCUUGCCAAGGUUGAAGUCGCGGGUUCGAGUCCCGUUUCCCGCU